ACGAACGCUGGCGGCGUGCUUAACACAUGCCAGUCGCACGGAAAGGCCCCCAUCUUGGUGGGGGUGCUCGAGUGGCGAACGGGUGAGUAACCCGUGGGUGAUCUGCCCUGUACUUCGGGAUAAGCUUGGGAAACUGGGUCUAAUACCGGAUAGGACCCUGGUUUAGUGUCUCAUGGUGGAUAGAUUAUUUUUUUGGUGCAGGAUAAGCUCGCGGCCUAUCUGCUUGUUGGUGGGGUAAUGGCCUACCAAGGCGUCGACGGGUAGCCGGUCUGAGAGGGUGGACGGACACAUUGGAUCUGAGAUACGGACCAGACUCAUACGGGAGACAGCAGUGGGGAAUAUUGGACAAUGGUAGCGAGCCUGAUGCAGCGACGCGGCGUAGGGGAUGACGGCCUUCGGGUUGUAAACUCCUUUCGUUAGGGACGAAGCAACGCGUUGUGGGUGUGGUGAAUGUACCUAUGGUAAGAAGCACCGGCUAACUAAGUG
rnacentral:rRNA from 1 species